AAGGGUAUAGCUCAAUUGGUAGAGUGCAUGCUUAGCAUGCAUGAGGUCCUGGGUUCAAUCCCCAGUACCUCCA
rnacentral:tRNA from 1 species